rnacentral:rRNA from 1 species
UGGGGAAUAUUGGACAAUGGGCGAAAGCCUGAUCCAGCCAUGCCGCGUGAGUGACGAAGGCCUUAGGGUUGUAAAACUCUUUCGUCGGGGACGAUAAUGACGGUACCCGAAGAAGAAGCUCCGGCAAACUUCGUGCCAGCAGCCGCGGUAAUACGAAGGGGGCUAGCGUUGUUCGGAAUUACUGGGCGUAAAGCGCACGUAGGCGGAUUGUUAAGUCAGAGGUGAAAUCCCGGAGCUCAACUUCGGAACUGCCUUUGAUACUGGCAAUCUAGAGUCCGGAAGAGGUUAGUGGAAUUCCCAGUGUAGAGGUGAAAUUCGUAGAUAUUGGGAAGAACACCAGUGGCGAAGGCGGCUAACUGGUCCGGUACUGACGCUGAGGUGCGAAAGCGUGGGGAGCAAACAGGAUUAGAUACCCCCGUAGUCCCUGAGCGGGCUGGCAAGGCGCAU